rnacentral:sRNA from 1 species
CAAGGCAGAGACACCCCCACUGGCGGCCUCCCCACCCCAGCAGCGCCCCCCAGAGCCUGGGACCGGUGAGAGUGCGGGCACAUCCCGGGCUGCCACGCCCCUGCCCUCUCUGAGGGUGGAAGCGGAGGCUGGGGGCUCAGGGGCCAGGACCCCUCCACUGUCGCGGAGGAAAGCUGUAGACAUGCGGCUGCGGAUGGAUUUGGGUGCUCCAGAGGAGAUGGGGCAGGUGCCCCCACUUGACUCUCGCCCCAGCUCCCCGGCCGUCUACUUCGCCCACGAUGCCAGCCUGGUUCACAAAUCUCCAGACCCCUUCGGAGCAGUAGCAGCUCAGAAAUUCAGCCUGGCCCACUCCAUGUUGGCCAUCAGUGGUCACCUAGACAGCGACGAUGAUAGUGGCUCCGGAAGCUUGGUUGGCAUUGACAACAAAAUCGAGCAAGCCAUGAGAGAUGGUUGUGGUCAUGAAGUUCUUCCGAUGGGUUAGACGGGCUUGGCAAAGGAUUAUUUCCUGGGUUUUCUUCUGGAGGCAGAAAAUUAAACCAACCAUCUCAGGACACCCUGACUCCAAGAAACACUCAUUGAAGAAGAUGGAGAAGACUCUCCAGGUGGCUGAGACUUUGAGGUUGGUCGAGCCCCCAAAAGAGGCUAAGCCCAAGUUGGGUGAGUCCCCUGAGCUGGCAGAUCCCUGCUUGUUGGCCAAGACUACAGAGGAGACCGAGGUGGAGCUGGGCCAACAGGGCCGAUCCCUGCUGCAGCUGCCGAGGACGGCCGUCAAGUCUGUCUCCACACUCAUGGUCUCUGCCCUGCAGAGCGGCUGGCAGAUGUGCAGCUGGAAGGUCA